UACGGGGGGGGCAAGCGUUGUUCGGAAUUACUGGGCGUAAAGGGCUCGUAGGUGGCCAACUAAGUCAGACGUGAAAUCCCUCGGCUUAACCGGGGAACUGCGUCUGAUACUGGAUGGCUUGAGUUUGGGAGAGGGAUGCGGAAUUCCAGGUGUAGCGGUGAAAUGCGUAGAUAUCUGGAGGAACACCGGUGGCGAAGGCGGCAUCCUGGACCGACAUUGACGCUGAUGAGCGAAAGCUAGGGGAGCAAACGGG
rnacentral:rRNA from 1 species